rnacentral:rRNA from 1 species
AUAGCGUAUAUUAAAGUUGUUGCAGUUAAAAAGCUCGUAGUUGAACUUCAGGCCUGGCUGGGCGGUCCGCCUCACGGCGUGUACUGUCUGGCUGGGUCUUACCUCUUGGUGAGCCGGCGUGCCCUUUAUUGGUGUGCGUCGGGGAACCAGGACUUUUACCUUGAGAAAAUUAGAGUGUUCAAAGCAGGCCUGUGCCCGAAUACAUUAGCAUGGAAUAAUAAAAUAGGACGUGCGGUUCUAUUUUGUUGGUUUCUAGAGUCGCCGUAAUGAUUAAUAGGGAUAGUUGGGGGCAUUAGUAUUCCGUUGCUAGAGGUGAAAUUCUUGGAUUUACGGAAGACUAACUUCUG